rnacentral:rRNA from 1 species
UAACACAUGGGUACCUGGCCCCAGGUGAGGGAUACGGCGAGAAAUCGGCGACAAUCCCGCAUAGGCUUCUUGCUCGCAAGAGAGAGAAGCAAAGCCUUUCUUCGUGAGAGGGGAGGUGCCUGGGGAUGGGCCUGUGGCCGAUUAGCUAGCUGGUGGGGUAAGAGCUCACCAGGGCGAUGAUCGGUAGCUGGUCUGAGAGGACGAGCAGCCACACUGGGAUUGAGAACGGCCCAGACUCCUACGGGGGGCAGCAGUGAGGAAUUUUCGGCAAUGGUCGCAAGACUGACCGAGCAACGCCGCNUGCAGGAAGACGGCCUUCGGGUUGUAAACUGCUUUUCUCUCGGAAGAGGUACGGACGGGUACGAGAGGAAGCAGCCCGGCUAACUACGUGCCAGCAGCCGCGGUAAUACGUAGGGGGCAAGCGUUGUCCGGAAGUUACUGGGGCGUUAAA